NNNNNNNAANGNACUAGNUCCCUGAAAUCAAUCUACAUUAAAUAAUAUUGAUUGAUAACGUAAGGGAAAAAUAAUGAUAUUACCUUACUAAUAGUGUUGUCCAAAGCUGGUGCCAGAAGACUCGGUAAGGCCAGAAACGCAAACGUUAGUCGUCUUAAUCAGGCGUAAAGGGUGUGUAGGCGGCUUAAAAAUUUUCCUUUUCUAUAUUGCUCUAAUUNGAAAUAAGUAAAGUAUAAAAAAAAANUAAGGUAAAUUUAGUUUUAAGGGGGAAGAAUUUAAGCUAGAAUCNAAUAGAGGAUAUAUUAAAUAAUGCUUAAAAUAGGUCUGAUAUCCUUAGAUAUUAAGUAGAAUAUUAAAGGCGAAGGCUUUUUUUCCNNAAAUGAUUGACGCUGAGAAACGAAGGUGAGGAUAGGAAAUAGGAUUAGAUACCCAAAAUACCCCUCUCUGUCAACGAUGAAUGGUAGUUACUAGUAAAUGAAUUAUUGGUGGCGAUGUUAACACGAUAACCAUUCCGCCUUGUGAGUACGACUNCAAAGUUGAAAACCCAAAAAAUUAUUCGGUCUCGAANCNUAACGGANUGNAUCAU
rnacentral:rRNA from 1 species